rnacentral:lncRNA from 1 species
AUACAACUAGAAACAGUGAAAUAAAAAUCAAAUCUAAUGAGCAAGAUUAGGAGAAUUGGGCUGGUUGCAGUAGCUCACACCUGUAAUCCCAACACUUCGAGAGGCCAAGGAGGGAGGAUCACUUGACCCAAGAGUUUGAUACCAGCCUGGGUAACAUGAUGAAACCCUAUCACUACAAAAAAUUAGCCAGGCUUGGUGGAGCAUGCCUGUAGCCACAGCUACCCACGAGGCUAAGGUGGGAGGAUCACCUGAGCCUGGGAGGUCGAGGCUCCAGGGACCCAUGAUCACAUCACUGCACUCCAGCCUGGGUGGUAGAGUGAGACCCUGUCUCAAAACAAACAAACAAACAAACAAAACAAAGAUUAGGAGAAUUGUAUAUUCAUACAAUUGAAUAUUAUGUAACCAGGAAAAAUCAUGGUUUUGGAGAAUCAUUACUGAUGAGAAAAAUGCCAAUAAAAAAAUUAGUACACAGAGUUAUAAACUUUUAAUGUAUGUACCUAUGGACUCCAGAUGUGUCCAAGCUUAUCCAGCAUGCACAUUCGAAUAUUGGUAAGGUGUGGAUAUCUGCAAUACAUCAGAGUUUAAUAAAAAAGAGCAAUGACAAAGAAAAUUUAAUUAACAAUUCGUUGGAAAUUGUCUUCCAACAUUUCUGCAAUUGAAAUUGUUUCAUUGUUUUAAUUAUCAGUAAAAGAGCGGCAUUUUCUUUCUAAGUAAAUUAAACUUUCACAAUAUAAAAUGUUGUUCAACUUUUAAAAAAUUAACAUUGCUUAGUUUACAAUUCUAUACACAAAAGCAUUGUUUUCUAACAAACUUGGAUACAUUGUAAGAUUUAGACAUGUCUUUUAGAAUACGAAUCCUCCACUCAUAUCUUAGCAAGAUAAUUGAUAGUAUAUGAUGAGUAUUAAAAUGAACUUCUGGGUUGAUAUAAAAAGACAGCCAUUUAAGGCUCCAUUUGAGUUUUCAUUAUUUAUGUCCGAUUUAAAAUGUGAUCAAAUGAGAACUUGUAGUCCCCAACCUGGCUGAGUUGCAGCUGACUGUGGUCCACUUAAAUAAAGCUUUUACCAAAUGUCAGAACCAUUGUGCAUAUUAAUUAGAAUAUGAGUGGCUUAUUUGAGGACUAUUUCAGGACUGUCUCCAGAAAGGAUAAUUCAUGAUUCUUUAAGACCAGAGUGUACGCCAUUCGAACAAUAACAUUAAGAAGGAUCAUUUUUUUAUCUAGCUGCCUCAUUGUACUGGCUGGAACAGACACUUCUAAUACAAUGUUCAGUUUAAGGUCAGAAGAAUAAUGUUAAUCUUGGUAGAGCUUACCAACUCUUAUGUAUUGCAUUAAGAAGAAGGUGAUAAAGAAACUAACAUGUAAAGAAAACAGGAAAGGGCUAAAGAGAUGUUAAUUAACAUAAUUCUUAUCCUAUGAUGUUAUUUCUACUAUUCCAUUAAAGAAACAACCUGUUGGAAGGAAGUAAUGGAUCACUGCAGUUUUACUAUUUUCUUCUAGUUGAUUGAGUAAAUCCUCGAUAUUGCUCAGUUAAUCAGUUUCAAACUUUAUCCUUUACCAAAUUAGUCAAGUACAGUCAUUUUUUUCUUUCCUAACAUCUCCCAAACCCAUAUGUUAUUUCUACUACUACUAACACUAUGCUGGAUUUAUUAUCUUCAGCCUAACUAUUGUUAUACUUCCCUAUGUUGUCCCUAGCCUUUAGUGUAGCUAUAUGCUAAUUUAUCUUAUAGAGCUGAAGUCACUUUCAUUCAUCAUUUUCUUUUCAACAACUUUUACCGAUUCUCUGUUAUCUAUAGAUUUAAGUUCAAUAGCAACUAUAAAGUGAUGUCUACACUCAACUCCAAUUCCUACCACCCAUCGUAUACUAGACUAUUCUUUUUACAGUAGUCUCCCCUUAAUCAUGAGAGAUACAUUUCAGGACCCCCAGUGGAUGCUUGAAAUCAUGGAUCAUAUUAAAUCCAAGACCAAUAUAUACAUACUUAUGAUAAAGUUUAAUUUAUAAAUUAGGCACAGUAAGAUAUUAAAAACAAUAAUUAAUAAUAAAAUAGAACAGUGACAGCAACAUGCCAGCAUCACUAUUCUUACACUUUGGGGACAUAAUUAAGUCAAAUAAAGGUGACUUGAACACAAACACUACAAUAUUGUGACAGUCGAUCUGAUCAUCUAGACAGCUACUAAGUGACAAGUGGCCAAGCAGUGUAGACAGCAUGGAUAGACUGAAUCAAGGGAUGAUUCACAUCCCAGGUAGAACAAAGUAGGAAGACGCGAUGUCAUGCUACUCAAAACAGUAUGCAAUUGAAAACUUAUAAAUUAUUUCUGAACUUUUCUGUUUAAUAUUUUUAGACCACGGUUGGCUGCUGAUAAACUACAGAAAGUGAAACUGUGGAUAAGGGGGGAGCUACUGCACUGCUCUUGGAGAACGUUGUGAAUUCUUAUACCUUGUUUCUAACUAAUUUUAUUAUCUUCAAAGAUUCAGCAGUUUUAUUUUUAUCUAGCCCUUAAGAAUCAGGUUACAUUUCAUGUCUUCAGUGAGGUAUUCCCUGACCACAGUAACCCAAAUUAAUUGACAUUGAUAUCUUUUCUCCUGAUACAGAUCAUCUGGGGAUUCUGUAUCUUUAUAGUAUAUAUAUUAUAAUUCACAAUUAGAUUAAGAAUGUCUUGAGGGCAGGUAUUUCUUUUAAUAUUUUGAUGAAUAAUAGAGGUAAACAUCAUGAGACAAACAAAUACCUGUGGGUGGUAUUAUUAUCAUUUUUCUUUAUUUGCUUAUUUGGCUAUAAAUUUGUUAAUUUGCAUAGCAGCAGAAUUAUUGUUAAAAAGAAAGAAUGGAAGGAGGGACUCCUUUCUCAGUUUCAGAAAGGUAGUAACAAUAACCUUGAUUAUUAGGAGUUUAAAGCAGAGGCCAACAAAAACACACUCAUCACUAGCAUGUCGGUAUUAUACUUAAUGUAAAUGUGACUAGUCUUUUCUUAUUCAUUUUUUCCAGAUUUCUUUUUUAUUUUCAUUUAUUAAAUACAGAAGAAAUAUUUCGCUGAAGACACAGGAAACCCUAUUUUGUAUAAACGAGGGAUUGCAAGAGAUUGUUGGAAGAUCAAAGAUGGGUGAAUUGGAGGUAGGUCAAUGUUUCCUUCCCUUCUUAGACUCCAGUUCUCUUUAAAAAUGGCAACUGAAAACCUAAAUACUGACAAAGGCAUAAAAAUAACCAUAUAAUAUCAAAUAUAGCUAUAUACUAAACUUUAUGAGGUCAAAGACUUUGUCCAUCCACUCAGUACUGUAUACUCAAUAUCUAAGACAAUUCCUGACACAUAGUAGGCAUUCUUGAGCAUUUGCUGAUUGAACGAAGGAUUAUUCAUACUUUUAAUCUUUGGCUGAAAUUAUUUUUAUGAUAAAUUUCAUUAAAAUUUAUUGAGAUUUUAGAGAAAAUGUUCUAUGUAGAAUUUUCUUAAUUGCUUUUAUUUUUAUAGUUGAAAACUGGCCAUGGUAGACUUUUCUUUUCCCCUCUGUCAAUCACAAUGAUUGGUUACCGGUCACAGCAAGAUGAUAAUGGGCUUUUAGUAUCCUCUUUGUGCAACUGUCAUAUUUUCCCCCUUUGGCUUAUGUACUUAAUUUUUCAUUAAUUCUUCUUUCCUGAAAUGUAAAUAUUUUUGCUUAGUAAUCAUUAUAGAAAACAGUAGAGAGGGGAGGAGAAAACAGUACGUUGUUCAAAUCAUCAAAUUCUUAAUACCACCUUAGGGCAACAGAAGAAUGGCAGUUGUUACUGAAUUAUGUAACUGAAAGGGAACAAAGGCAUUAAAAGAAAGGCUCCAUAAUGAAUCUUCUGGCAGGUUUCAGAGAAAGAAGCAGCUGGGUCUUCAUGGCAAGAAAACAUAGUGGAACCUAUUGGUAAAAUAUGGUGAUGAGUGCUUUCAACAUAUUCAAAAAUAUGGUCAUUCAGAAAAUAUAUAUUUCAAAGUGCCUAAAGAUAUUUAACAAGAUGAUAUAAUGGCCUGAAAGACUAUAUAUUUAUAAAUUGACAACAAUAGCCAUAUUUUAAAUGUUACCUCUCAUUUAGGACCUAAAAUUGCAUCAUGGGAAACAUUAUUUCUCUAUUUAUAAAUUUUGCUAAAACAUUUUUUGGAAGGACUUUAGGAUUUUUUUUAAACAAAGAGUGAAAAUUUCAGGAGCUUGAUAUCAUUUGAGUCUAAUGCAAUAAUCUGCAUAUCUUGGCACUAUUAUGAAAAAUGAAAACAAAGAUAAGCUUACAAAUGUAAAUGCUAGAGCUAAUGAUUGUGACACAAAUAUACUAUGGAAACAGCAUGGCUCAGUAACUAGGCAACAGAUUAGAAACUCAGGUUUAAUAUCUAAUUCUGAUUUUCCCCCUGGUUUUUAGCUUUGUGUCUUAUCAGCAAUGUAUUUAAUAUGUUGACUUAUAUAGGUGAAGGAUAAAAAUGGUGCAAAUAAGCCAAAAUAGCAAAUAACUUCCCAUUCUUAUUUAACUUUGAAAUGUCCCAGGUUUUACAUUUGAAGAGCGUAAGAGAGCUAUGUAAGAGUAUCACAGCACUUCACAAUAAAUGAUGAAAUCACAGUCAAGACAUAUAAGAUGUUUUGAAAAGCUAUGUCUUUUUACUACAUUGCCCAAUCCAUCCUUGAAACAGUGCUACCUAUUUGACUUAACUAAGUGCCAACCUACAUGGAAGAAGGUGAUGUCUUUUUCUAUGUUGUCUGACUCUGGUUCAAACAGUCCCAACCUGAAAAAAAUAUAUGUAAUUUUCAAACAGAAAAAAGAAAUCUUCAAGCUGUGUACCUUAUCUGUUCUAGUCAGAAUGAAAUGGUGACUAUGCCAAAAAAAAAUUGUAGCAGAUAAUGUGAUAAUGUCAUUAAAAUGUUAACAACACAGUUUCCAUAGAUGAACACAUGUACAAUCCUGUUUUUCUUAGAUUUCUCCAUGUGGAAAAUGAGAAACAGGACUAGGUAAAACAACAACAAAAAACCUCACCAUGAGCUAAGGUUUUAGUCCUUCAUAUGCUAGCAGAAUGCCUCAAAAUAUCAAGUCUUCUACUCCAUUGCCAAAACCUUCAUAUCUCUACAAAAACUAAAACGCAGUGGUAUGAUAUUUGCAAUCAAGCUUUCUGGAUACAACAGUGGUAUUUCAUAGUUUCCGCUAAUGUCACUAUUUGCUGCCAAGAAUUGGAGCCAUUGAACCAUUUAAUGCAUCCAGGCAUUAUUUUGUGAAAGUUUAACAAUUUCAACAUUAUAAACUGACUUAAUAUGACCUAAUAUAAACUAAUAUUGGUUGGGUAGGUAUCAUACACUGACAUAUAAGGUCAACAACAGUGAUAUUUUGGAUCCAGAUUCUAACCUCUAAUAGAUUAUAGAUGUAAGGUAGUACAUUACUCUAAAAGAACAAACAGUAAGGUUGGAGAAAAUCGGUUUGUUUUCUUUGUUAAAUCCUAUAUUUUAUCAGUUCAUUGUUUUCAAUAAACAUAUCUGUAUUGAUACCAGUCACUGAGCUUAAAGCAGAUUUCAGGAUAAAUGAUCUAGAUAUAGAAACUUCAAAGAAGGAGGUCUCAGGAAAAUGCAGUGAGACGUUUAAAUAAUAUAAUACAAUGGAUUAAAUGCUAUAAUUGAAUAUUUUUAAAUAUAGCAGAAAAAGGGAGGAAGUAAGUAACUAGAUAUUAGAAAUGGGAUAAAGCGUCACUGGGGAGGAAGCAAUUUAACUAACUCAUAGAAUCAGAAAAGUCAGGACCAAACAGAUAACAUCAGUAAAGGAAAGAAAAUAAUACACAAGAGAAACAGUAAAUGGGCAGAGAAUAAUGCUGGGUUUUGAUGCUGUUUUACUUGAAUUUUUAUUUUUUCAUGGGAGAAGAAACACAAAAAAAGCAAGAGAACCAAGGGUUGUGAAAUGCAAGAGCUGAGAUAUAAGUUCAGAGAAGGAAAAACUUAAGAACGACUAAAGCCACAUUUGAGGCUGCCGAGGGAUACUUUGUUCCAGGAAUCAGGCCACAUACAGAAAUACAGAGUGAAGAUGUGGGGAGAGGACUUAUGACAGAAUCAUAAUUAAGACGCAAUUCAUAAUUAAGACAUGAAUCUCGACAGAAGGAGUUGAUCCGGAAACUUUAUCCUGACUUGUAGAUGCUUCAAGUUGAGAGGUUCUGUAAAACACUUGGUAAAUAACAAAGGCUCCAGACAUUCAAAAGGAUAUUCGUAGAAUAGGAAUCUAAAAUACCAAACAGUAGAAAACACAGUAAGGAACAUUAACAAAAGAAGAAGCUGCCAAACACAUGUACUCUAAAAGUACAUAAUUCCAAUGUUGCUAUUUCUGAUGAGCCCUAAAUUCCUUUGGUUCGUACCUUGACAUUUAGAGUGUUUUUAGAUCUUCACCAAGCUCUAACUGCUUCAGUGACUAAAGCUCUAAUUCUGCAGAAUUUAUAGCCUUAAUGCUGUGUCAUAUUCUGGAGCCACUUCAUUUCACCUGUCUGACCGCCUGGGUCUCAGGUCAACCACGCACAAGCUGGGGGCAAGCCUCAGCACAGAGUUCCUAAUGUGGCUCAAGACAGGCUGCUGGAGUUCAAUAAAUAUUGAUUGAUGGUAAUAGGGACAGUAUCACUCUCCUUAGAUAUGUUGUCACUCUGCCUUCAGGAAAACACUGAGAGUCUGUGCUAUUCAGGGCAGUUUCUAUGGCAGCAGAAAUUAAAGGCCAGCAAACUUGAAGCUACACAAAAGUCGUGGGACAACAUCAUUCUGAAUCUUGCAUCAUUCAUGACUGUUUGUAUUGUCUCAGCACCAAGAACAGACAAGAAUGUUCAAUAAGUCUGCAUUGUGAACAGUGAAACUGUGACAGCGAUGUCAUGUUUUUCAUAGAACAGACUAUUUCCAAGCUAAGGUAUAGAUUUUUGGAGUGGGGACGAGUGAGGCAUAGUCCCUUCUCGUGUUUUAGCUUCAGUCCACAGAGGGGAGAACUUUUUUGGAUCUCUUGAGGCAAUAUUACAGAGAACAUGUCUACUUUGCUCUUAGUACACAUAUUUGCACCUCCUGAGGCCUCUAAGUGGCCAAUUUUAUUGAAUAGAUUUUGUUCUAAUUAUUGAACUGCAUUACUAGGGGGUGAGAUACCAUCCUCUCAAAGGCACCUGUAAUGCUCAGUUUCUUCUCCAGCAUGUUCCUGGUUAAGAAUUACUUACAGAUUCCUAGAAUCUAUGGGCUCGUAAAGAAUGGUUUCUUGGAAAAUAUCACAUAAGCUAUAGUAUAAAAUGGAGAUGUUUCAUAAACUAAACUCUCUCUGCUUUGUGUGUUAGUCUCACAAAACCUUGCUUGAAGGUCCCAUCUAUUAUUUUGAAUCAGAGUGGCUGUUUUAUAAUAUAUAGUGAUAUACCCAAAGUUUCUCUCAUGUUUUUCUCAGUUUCUUUGGUCUCUAAAAGAUAUCUUGGAAUCAGAACUGCCUCCACAAAUUGGGAAUAAAAGAACUAAAGUGAUUCAGAAGCUUAUGUCUUUGUUGGUUGGUUUGUUCUCCUGCUUUUUACUUAGUCUAAAAAAAAAAAGCAAAGCAAAACAAAACAAAGAAAUCUAAGAAUGGAAAGUAAGCAUUCAGGCACAAAAAUAGAUAAGAUUUCUGUUUUCAAGAAGGAUGUUGAUACCUUUGCUCCAACUUUUAAAAUAAAUAUCAUAAGAGAAGGAUUUAUAAUAAUUAAUUUUAAUUUCAAGCUAUGUUUAAUAGAUGUAUACACAUAUAUAUACACUUAUACACAUGAAUGCCUUUGAGUCACAGAAAAUAUGACAAGUAAAAGUGUAUGUAAUACAGAUGACAAAAGAGUGCACUUGGACCUUUAUUAAUUCUGAGUGAGGGGUCUUAGGUCCCUGGAAAUAGGGAAGGCAGAAUACAUGCAGCAAAGGAUCUAAAAAGAAAACGAAAACAUCCACAUGGACAUCCUAGGUAAGAACCUAAAAUUCUAACCAAUGCAAAGAGCAAAAAUAUUUUUAAUCAGGCACUGUGUUUAGUCUUCUACUUUGCUAUUUAUAUUUAUUACCAGAACUCUUGAAAUAUAAACUGCUGAAAGAUUUCUAAUGGCUAAUUUUUCUCUUCUCACCUCGGGGGAAUUAAAUUGAUAUCUGGAAUGCAAAGGAGACUAUCAGCACAACCUCUGCCCCUAACACAUCUACCUACACCCCCCUCCACACACACAUAUGUGCAGUUAUCAGAAGACUCAGAAACACUUUCAGCAAGGGUUCCAUCCGUAUGACUGCUCAUCUAUAGGAAAAAUCACUGCUGUAGACAGUAGCUAGAGGCAUAUUAUGUGGACGUGAGCAAGGAGAAAACCCUAUUAUCUAGAGCUCAACUUCCAUAUAACAGAUGGAUAUUGCUAUAAUCUGAAUAUAUCUCCUAAAAUUCAUAUGUUGAUACAUAAUCCUGAAUGUGAUAGUAUUAAGAGCUGGGGCCUUUAGGAGAUAAUUAAGUCAUGAUGAUGGAGCCCUUAUAAAUGAAAUUAGUUACCUUAUAAAAGAGAUUGAAGGGAGAACCCUAAAGUUCCACUGGCCAUUCCAUCUAUCUCUUCUGCCAUGAGAAGAGGCAGAAUCCCUCUUUUUUAUUGCCCUUCCCCCUUCUGUCAUGUGAGGAUGCUGCCUGGAGAGGAUGCCAUCAAUGGAAAAAGCCCUUACCAGACCACUAAACAUGCUGGUGCCUUCAUCUUGGACUUCCC